rnacentral:rRNA from 1 species
UACGGAGGAUCCGAGCGUUAUCCGGAUUUAUUGGGUUUAAAGGGUUCGCAGGCGGGGGAUUAAGUCGGCGGUGAAAUUUUGCAGCUCAACUGUAAAAGUGCCUUCGAAACUGGUUUCCUUGAGUGUAGAUGAAGUAGGCGGAAUUUGUGGUGUAGCGGUGAAAUGCAUAGAUAUCACGAGGAACUCCGAUUGCGCAGGCAGCUUACUAAACUACUACUGACGCUCAGGCACGAAGGCGUGGGGAUCAAACAGGAUUAGAUACCCCUGUAGUCCCU